UAUUGGUCAAUAGCCUAACGGCUGAACCAGCAACUAGGAGGAAUGUAUAGGGAAAACUGGUAAAAUGUGAUGUACCUAGUAGUAUUAGAAAUAAAUAUGAUAUUAACUAAGUUAAUUAAAGUUCUAAAUAGGUAUUUGAUUAUGACAGUACCUACAAAAGUCUUGACCAANUCACGUGCCAGCAGUCGCGGUAAUACGUGGAAGACGAGUGUUAUUCAUCUUUAAUAGGUUUAAAGGGUACCUAGACGGUUAAUUAAGCAAUUAGAUGUACUAAUUAACUAGAGUUUAAUGUAAGAAGGAUUGAGUACGGUGAGAGUAGAGAUAAAAUUCUCUGAUACCGCUUAGGAACUGGCAACAGCGAAGGCUACCUUCAAUGUAAAAAAACUGACGUUAAGGGACGAAGG
rnacentral:rRNA from 1 species